UUUCCUUGAAGAGAAGCCCCGAAGGCGGCGAGAUUAGGGGGACAAUUGAGUGUGCCAAUCUUGUCUCUGAACUUGAUCCUCUCUCAUAUACCGUUAAGGUUCUUUGCUCCAUCUUCUGUCAUAGGAUUUAUAUACUUCUGAGAACUACUAAUUUAGACAAUAUGUUUCUUCUUGCUAAAUUAUCAGCCAUUUUAUGGAUCUUACAUGGAUCAAAGCAUCAUUCCUGAAUCUGGUAAACUAAAAAGGAAGUGGUUCCAGAAGCUUGGGAGUGGAACCUCUAACAAAGUAACUUUUCAGGACUAAUUGAGAUGAGAAAAUUGACCUGUCGGUUUUAAACUCAAUUGGUAUGAUUAUUGGCUCAUAGUUUUUUCCUGGUUUAUUCUUUGAUAUUAUUUUCUGUUGAAGAUUUUGUGAAUUUGUAUACAACAUUGUGAUAUUCCGGCCUGUAGCUUAAUAUAUAUCUGGAUAAUUGCUGCAGAUAAUUCCCCUCUCUUUGUAGCUGUUCUCUUCACUGAAGAGUAAGCAAUCGCUGUGUUCUUCAGGCAAAAAAAAAAAGCAGAUGUAGAAGGAAGGAGGCAAAAGUUCGUGUGACGGAGAAAAGAAGUUGAAAAAAGUAAAUGGGAAUAGGGAAACUUGUAAUGGUAUUGUUCCAGUGCUUCGGGUAUUCAAUGCUACUGCUAGUUAUGUUGACCAAGGAGGAGGCAAGAGAAAAGGAGGAACACAGGGCUAGAGACUUGUUUUAUGGUCUUUGGAUACCAUAUCUUUUCAUGGAGAGAGUCCAGACUGAUGGACAGUGGUCACUGUUUUGUUCCAAUGAAGCUCCAGGUUUGGCAGAUUGUUGCGGUGCAGAAUUUGAGAAAUUGUACACUCAGUAUGAGAAUGUGGGUAAGGCUAAGAAGGUUGUCCAGGCACAACAGCAGCUUUGGUACGAAAUCUUGACAUCCCAAGUAAAAACAGGAACACCAUACAUGCUUUUCAAGGAAAAGCAAUCAACAAAAUCUGCAUACCAUUAAUGUCUUCCAAUUUAUGCACUGAAAUCGUUGAAUACACAAGUCCAGCAGAAACAGCUGUGUGUAAUCUUGCAUCUAUUGUCUUACCCCGGUUUUGUAAGGGUGAAGGCAGUUUGGGCCCAAUGAAUCGUUCAUUUGAUAUUGACAAGGUAGCAGAGGUCAAUACUUAACUACUUGGUUCAUUUUGUUAACAAAGACAUACUACCAUGCACUCAAGUCAUCUUCAGAGAUUGCUACGAAGGAAGGUGCAUAUGAAACUUACCAAGGAAGUCCUGGAGUUGUGCAACCUGCUACGUGGAGUGUAAUUCCUUCGGACCGCUGGGACUGGGCUGCUCUCAUGGAUAUGAUUUCAAAGAAUGUAAUCAGAAAUUCUCUUCUAGUGGCACUAAUGCCAACUGCUUCAACCAGCCAGAUUCUUGGGAACAAUGAAUGUUUUGAACCUUACACCUCAAACGUUUUUAGUCGUAGAGUCUUGAGGUAUGUACUUCAAUCAAUAAAAUAGCUCAACAAAGUUAUGUUUAUUGUGUU